AUUUUAGUUUUUUAAAGCUGUAAAGCUAUAAAAUUCUCUCUUUAUUUGGGUGUAUAAGGCUUUUGCAUUUGCUUUUUUUGAAUUUGGAGGAUGUAAUUAGUCAGGGAUUAACCGACUUAUCCUAGAAGCAGGAAUGAUUCUCUCGGCCAAUCAUAUGAGAUUGCUCUUGUGGCUGGAGCAUUUGGAGAUUGCCUGGCUAUGAAAGAUGAUUCUGUAUUGGAGUUGAGGAGUGAACUUGGACAUAUAUUAGCCAACAAAAAAGCUAUAAUCUAAAGUUGAGGUGUUGAGAAAUCUUUUUCUAGGCUCAGCAGACAGAACUGUGAAAUUCUGGGAUUUGGAAACCUUCCAACUGAUUGGAUAUACAAGCCUCGGAGUCACCGCAUUCGACGUCUACUUGGUGAGUGAGUAGGUCUGCAGCCGAAGAGAGCUUGGGAGAGAGAAGAGAAACAGAGAGAGAAUAGGUCUACAGUUGGUGUUCUUUCUUAUAUUUUUUAUCAUUAAAGAAUGUUGCACUCAACAUGUUCUAUGGUGCAAUACAUUGUUAAAAAAUAAUUGUAAAUUUGGAUGAUUUGUGAAAGAAAAAUUUAAACGCAAUUUUGAUGAUAAUUAAAAA